UACGAAGGGGGCUAGCGUUGCUCGGAAUCACUGGGCGUAAAGCGCACGUAGGCGGAUUGUUAAGUCAGGGGUGAAAUCCUGGAGCUCAACGCCAGAACUGCCUUUGAUACUGGCGAUCUUGAGUCCGGGAGAGGUGAGUGGAACUGCGAGUGUAGAGGUGAAAUUCGUAGAUAUUCGCAAGAACACCAGUGGCGAAGGCGGCUCACUGGCCCGGUACUGACGCUGAGGUGCGAAAGCGUGGGGAGCAAACAGG
rnacentral:rRNA from 1 species